rnacentral:rRNA from 1 species
CAAGGGAUCGUUAGGCUCUCCAGACGAGGAAGGGCGCGACAGAAAGCGAAAAGCAUCGGAAUAGUGAUUAUGACGAUGUGUGCCUGAAUAGUGUCAUGACGACAUGAGUACUCCUUGGAAUUAAGCAUAUGAGUAAAGGAAGGAAAAGAAACCAACAGGGAUUCCCAUAGUAGCGGCGAGUGAACAGGGAAGAGUCCACAAGUGUAAUCCUAGUGUAAAUUAGGAGAUGUCGCUCAGAUGGUUGAAGAGAAGUAGUUGGGAAACUAUGCCAUAGAGGGUUACAGCCCCGUAUCAGAGACCUGGAGUGUGUAUGAGUAGUUGUGCUUGGUAAUGCACGAUGAAGAGGUGGUAGUGACCAUCUAAGACUAAAUACGAGGAGAGACCGAUAGCGAAGAAGUAGGACGACCGAAAACGAGAA